UGGUGAUGUUGUCUGGAUUGCCACCAAAAUUCCUGAUGUUUCUGUGUACCCAGGAGAUAGCGGCGUGCUGAUCCCACAGGCCAUAGUUUCCUGUCGAACAGGACAUGCUCGGGUGCGUCAGCAUCUCCGCUGCUGAGGAAACCCAGGGAACCGACACGAUAGUUGAAUGUCACCACGAUGACAUUUCCUCUGUCUGCGAUCUCCUGUCCGUCGUACAGUCAGUCUCCAGGCGUUUCUCUCAGUCUGCACGGCUCACUCACGCCCUCUACCUGACGGUCCAGUCAUUACCUGUCUGGCCAGGACAUCCAAAUCAAGAAGAGGCCAGUGGCGUCCGAACACAGUGAGAGC